rnacentral:tRNA from 1 species
GGGGAUUUAGCUCAGUGGUAGAGUGCUUGCCUAGCAAGCAUAAGGCUCUGGGUUCAGUCCUCA